rnacentral:rRNA from 1 species
CGUAGGGACCAAGCGUUGUUCGGAUUUACUGGGCGUAAAGGGCGCGUAGGCGGCAAUUCAAGUCAGUUGUGAAAUCUCCGAGCUUAACUCGGAACGGUCAACUGAUACUGUUUUGCUAGAGUGCAGAAGGGGCAACCGGAAUUCUUGGUGUAGCGGUGAAAUGCGUAGAUAUCAAGAGGAACACCUGAGGUGAAGACGGGUUGCUGGGCUGACACUGACGCUGAAGCGCGAAAGCUAGGGUAGCAAACGGGA